rnacentral:misc_RNA from 1 species
GAACGCAAAUUGCACUCUCUGGUAUUCCGGGGAGUAUGCCUGUUUGAGGGUCAGUUAAAACAAAAAUCGAUGUGUCGCUUUUGUGACGCUUCGGAAUUGGGUCACCUUGAUCUCUGGGUUAAGAGGCCUAAAAUUGAUACCUUUCCGAGCAUCUUGGACGUACGUAACCUUUCAAGUGCCGGAUCUUUUUACUAGGUAUGACCAUGCUGUGCGUGGCUCUCGUACCCAUAACGUGUAUUCAUAUUUUGACCUCAAAUCAGGUAGGAACACCCGCUGAACUUAAG